rnacentral:sRNA from 1 species
GUCAGCACCCCGCUCUGAAGAGACGGGGCUUCAUGCCUCCAACUUUAGAUAGCUGACCAGCCUAAGCCUAACGGCUACGUUUUNGAGCGAUAAAAUCAACAAAUCUGUAACGAAAAGUUAACCUGAU